rnacentral:rRNA from 1 species
UAACAAUGAUUUCCUUAGUAACGGCGAGUGAACAGGAAAAAGCUCAAAGUUGGAACCUGUUUGGCCUAGCUAAACCGGAUUGUAAACUGUAGAAGUGUUUUCCAGGCAAGCCGGACCGAUAAGUCCUUUGGAACAGGGCAUCAUAGAGGGUGAGAAUCCCGUCUUCGGUCUGAGCAUUUGCCUUUUGCGAUACACUUUCAAAGAGUCAGGUUGUUUGGGAAUGCAGCCUAAAUUGGGUGGUAAAUCUCACCUAAAGCUAAAUAUUGGCGAGAAACCGAUAGCGAACAAGUACCGUGAGGGAAAGAUGAAAAGAACUUUGAAAAGAGAGUUAAACAGUAUGUGAAAUUGUUAAAAGGGAACCGUUUGGAGCCAGACUGGCUUGUCUGUAAUCAGUCUAAGCUUCGGCUUGGAUGCACUUGCAGGCUAUGCCUGCCAACGACAAUUUGGCUUGAGGGAAAAAACUAAGGGAAAUGUGGCCCAUCCGUGGGUGUUAUAGUCCCUUAGAAAAUACCUUGGGCUGGAUUGAGGUACGCAGCGAAUGCUAUUUGGCGAGUUGGCUGGGAAUAUUUUCUGAGGUGCUUUGGUACUGAGGUUGAUAUUCCUAGUUACACUUCUAUUCGCUUAGGUUGUUGGCUUAAGACU